ensembl:misc_RNA Metazoa_SRP Metazoan signal recognition particle RNA
GCUGGGCGUGGUGGCGGGUGCCUGUAAUUCUAGCUACUCGGGAGGCUGAGGUAGGAGAAUUGCUUGAACCCGGGAGGUGGAGGUUGCAGUGAGCCAAGAUUGCACCACUGCACUCCAGCCUGGGUGACAAAGCAAGACCCUGUCUCAA